GGCUUACUGUGGAUACCUAGGCACCCAGAGACGAGAAAGAGCGUAGUAAGCAACGAAAUGCUUCGGAGAGUUGAAAAUAAGCAUAGAUCCGGAGAUUCCCGAAUAGGUCAACCUUUCGAACUGCUGCUGAAUCCAUGGGCAGGCAAGAGACAACCUAGCGAACUGAAACAUCUUAGUAGCCAGAGGAAAAGAAAGCCAAAGCGAUUCCCGUAGUAGCGGGAGCGAAAUGAGAACAGCCUAAACUGUGAAAAUGGGGUUAUGGGAGAGCAAUACAAGCAUCGUGUUGCUAGGCGAAGCGGCGAAAUGCUGCACCCUAGAUGGCGAGUGUCCAGUAGCCGAAAGCAUCACUAGCUUACACUAUGACCCGAGUAGCAUGGGGCACGUGGAAUCCCGUGUGAAUCAGCAAGGACCACCUUGCAAGGCUAAAUACUUCUGGGUGACUGAUAGCGAAGUAGUAUCGUGAGGGAAGGGUGAAAAGAACCCCCAUCGAGGAGUGAAAUAGAACAUGAAACCAUAAGUU
rnacentral:ncRNA from 1 species